UGGGGAAUCUUCCGCAAUGGACGAAAGUCUGACGGAGCAACGCCGCGUGAGUGAUGACGGCCUUCGGGUUGUAAAGCUCUGUUAAUCGGGACGAAUGGUUCUUGUGCAAAUAGUGCAAGGAUUUGACGGUACCGGAAUAGAAAGCCACGGCUAACUACGUGCCAGCAGCCGCGGUAAUACGUAGGUGGCAAGCGUUGUCCGGAAUUAUUGGGCGUAAAGCGCGCGCAGGCGGAUUGGUCAGUCUGUCUUAAAAGUUCGGGGCUUAACCCCGUGAUGGGAUGGAAACUGCCAAUCUAGAGUAUCGGAGAGGAAAGUGGAAUUCCUAGUGUAGCGGUGAAAUGCGUAGAUAUUAGGAAGAACACCAGUGGCGAAGGCGACUUUCUGGACGAAAACUGACGCUGAGGCGCGAAAGCCAGGGGAGCGAACGGGAUUAGAUACCCCGGUAGUCCUGGCCGUAAACGAUGGGUACUAGGUGUAGGAGGUAUCGACCCCUUCUGUGCCGGAGUUAACGCAAUAAGUACCCCGCCUGGGGAGUACGACCGCAAGGUUG
rnacentral:rRNA from 1 species